AGUGAACGCUGGCGGUAGGCCUAACACAUGCAAGUCGAACGGCAGCACAGUAAGAGCUUGCUCUUACGGGUGGCGAGUGGCGGACGGGUGAGGAAUACAUCGGAAUCUACUUUUUCGUGGGGGAUAACGUAGGGAAACUUACGCUAAUACCGCAUACGACCUACGGGUGAAAGCAGGGGAUCUUCGGACCUUGCGCGAUUGAAUGAGCCGAUGUCGGAUUAGCUAGUUGGCGGGGUAAAGGCCCACCAAGGCGACGAUCCGUAGCUGGUCUGAGAGGGUGGUAGCCCGCCUGUGAAGGUGAAACACGACACGAGCCCUGAGGGAGGGCCCAGUGGGGAAAUGUAGGAAAAAGGGGGGAAUCCUGCACAAUCCAACGCAGGUGGGUGAAGAAGCCCUUCGGGUGGAAAGACCCUUUUUGGGGGAAAAAAAGCUGGCGGGUGAGACCCCGCGUGUUUGACGGGAACCAAAAAAAAAGCACCGGCUAACUACGUG
rnacentral:rRNA from 1 species